rnacentral:rRNA from 1 species
CUACGGGACGCUGCAGUAAGGAAUAUUGCGCAAUGGAGGCAACUCUGACGCAGCCAUGCCGCGUGCAGGAAGAAGGCCUUAUGGGUCGUAAACUGCUUUUAUUUAGGAAUAAACCCCCGAACGUGUUCGGGGCUGAAGGUACUAAACGAAUAAGCACCGGCUAACUCCGUGCCAGCAGCCGCGGUAAUACGGAGGGUGCAAGCGUUAUCCGGAUUUAUUGGGUUUAAAGGAUGCGCAGGCGGGCUAUUAAGUCAGUGGUGAAAUCCCGGGGCUCAACUCCGGAACUGCCAUUGAUACUGAUAGUCUUGAGUUUGGUUGAUGUGGGCGGAAUGUAGCAUGUAGCGGUGAAAUGCAUAGAUAUGCUACAGAACACCAAUCGCGAAGGCAGCUCACUAAGCCAAAACUGACGCUCAUGCACGAAAGCGUGGGGAUCAAACAGGAUUAGAUACCCGUGUAGUC